UAUUGGCCUUUUGUGACAUCUAAUUGUGACAUAAUAAUGCGGCCGUCGUAAAAACUAUUAAAAUUUUCAUAAUUUCCAAAAUAUUACGCGCUAAACCUUACCGCUGUAUUUAAUUACGAUACGCAGUUGCAUUCGUCGCAUCGUAUGUCGCAAUUAAAUAGUCCAGCUUUUAUUUUACUUUUUUUCUUUUUUAAGUUUACUUUUUCACAGUUACACGAAUACACGAUUUCUUCUUAGAAAGGAAAAUCGGCGUCUUCUCUCCAAUAGGGUUGCAAAGAAAACUGUUCCGUGGGUCAUUCGACGGCUACUGGAUUAUGAUCGGAAUUUGGGGGGGGGGGGGUUGAUGGAGAGUAGGAACUGAAUUGUUCGUUAUUAGAGAAACGACGCCCAUGAAACUCCGAAUCUGAAUGGUUGGUGUCUGUUUGUUGUGUUUUCUGGUUAUAGGAGUUAAAGUAUCCACCAAUAAGCAUCGAUCUCAUCUGCAAUUGCAUUCAUGAAACUCCGAUUGGUGAUUCUGUUCAACCAGAUAUGGUUCAGAUUUCUUCUCUUCCGACUAAGCAAAUAGCAGAUUUCAGUAUGGUAUUCACUGGUUUUGCUUGUGUUCUAUGCUGGGUAAGCCCAUAUAAUCUCUGACUCUGAAGAAUCUCUGAUGAGUUAUAAUUUUAGUCAUGUUAUUUUUCAAAGGGCUUGUAGUUUCAGUGGCCCGUAUAAAUGAUGAUGCAUGUAUAUAUAUAUAUAUAUCAAAAUUCUAUGCUUUCCCAAUGGAUUUCUUAUAUAUAUGUUCAUAGUAAUGGUGCAAAGGAUUAUCAUGUUUGUAGGACCAUUAAUUCAAAUAAGAGUUGAUUAAACAAUCUAACUCUAUAUUCUAUACCAAUUUCUAGUCUGUAUGAGUUUUGGUUCCUAAUUCCAUUGAUGAUUUUUCCCCCGUUUAUCUUGGUUUGUAUUAUGUUCUGUCUUUUUGUGAAGAACAUUACAGGUAUAACAAAUAUUUCACUUGGGAACGCUGCCAAUUGUAGCUUAGUAGGUGAAAGAGGUCCACUUUCCUUUCAGGAAAAGCUAUAACCCACAGCUUUUGUAAAUAGGUGACGUCUUCUUUUGAGGUAAACAAACUCGACUUUCUUCUCUUUUAGGUAAUAUUUGGUCUUAAAAAUCUAGUUUAGACUCUUUUAGUAACUCUAUUGUAUUAACCCCUUGUCAAUGUGAAUGAGUGAAUAUGACCACAUUAAUGCCUUGUCAAUGUUUUGUUAUCACUGGCUGUUCAAUAUACAAUUGUGUUGACAUUUAUGUAUGCAAAGCUGUUGUGACUAUUAGCUUUAUUGUUUAUAUUUGAAACAGCCAAGUCAAAGUGCUCUUUGGAUUUUGUAACUUGGAAGUUGAUUAGAAAGUAAAUUGUUGCAUAUGCAAGACAAUAUUGGAGAUGCUAAUGUUACCUGCAAUAGCAUAAAGUAUUUGUUGCAGGUUCAGAUUCUUCUCAAUGAUUAAGAGAAUUCCUGAGUUCUUGACUUUUCUAGUCCCUUCAAGUAUUGCUGCCUUGCUGGCUUUGGUUUCAAGAUUAUAAACUCUAUAUGUGCGGAGACUAUACUUUUGUAUAAACACAUAAUGUUUGUUUUAAGUAAAUGGUAUUAUAUAAUAAUUGGUUGGAGAGCUUCUUUGAUUAUAAUAAGGUGAAAGUCCAAAGGCUCAAUUGCGACAGUCUUAGCUGUCGCUAUUUUUUUUUUAUUCUCUUGUCACAAUAUUUGCGACGGAAGAAAAAGCGUCGUAAAAACUUGUAUACUAUUUAGGACGCUUCCUAAUGCGUCGUUUUUAACCAAAAUUGAUUACGACGUCAAUAUAUGCGACAUGCCAAGAAGCGUCGUAAAUCCGUCGUAAAAGUUUGUUGCGACACCCAAUUAUGCGUCGUAUAUAACGAAAAAGUAUUUGCGACUCGAUUUUUGCCGACGCUUCACCAAGCGUCGCAAAUCCGUCGCAAAAACUCUUUUGCGACGCUUUUUGCCUUUUUGCUGACGCUUUCUUAUUGUCGCAAAAAAAUCAAUUUUUU